AAUACCGCAUAACAAUAAAAGCCGCAUGGCUUUUAUUUGAAAGACGGCUUUGGCUAUCACUCUGGGAUGGACCUGCGGUGCAUUAGCUAGUUGGUAAGGUAACGGCUUACCAAGGCGAUGAUGCAUAGCCGAGUUGAGAGACUGAUCGGCCACAAUGGAACUGAGACACGGUCCAUACUCCUACGGGAGGCAGCAGUAGGGAAUCUUCCACAAUGGGCGCAAGCCUGAUGGAGCAACACCGCGUGAGUGAAGAAGGGUUUCGGCUCGUAAAGCUCUGUUGUUGGAGAAGAACGUGCGUGAGAGUAACUGUUCAUGCAGUGACGGUAUCCAACCAGAAAGUCACGGCUAACUACGUGCCAGCAGCCGCGGUAAUACGUAGGUGGCAAGCGUUAUCCGGAUUUAUUGGGCGUAAAGCGAGCGCAGGCGGUUGCUUAGGUCUGAUGUGAAAGCCUUCGGCUUAACCGAAGAAGUGCACCGGAAACCGGGCGACUUGAGUGCAGAAGAGGACAGUGGAGCUCCAUGUGUAGCGGUGGAAUGCGUAGAUAUAUGGAAGAACACCAGUGGCGAAGGCGGCUGUCUGGUCUGCAACUGACGCUGAGGCUCGAGAGCAUGGGUAGCGAACAGGAUUAGAUACCCUGGUAGUCCAUGCCGUAAACGAUGAGUGCUAGGUGUUGGAGGGUUUCCGCCCUUCAGUGCCGGAGC
rnacentral:rRNA from 1 species